CCCCAGUCCAGGCCCGCGGUUCCCCGCGGUUCCCCGCGCUCCAGGCUCGCGGCAGCGGCUCUGCAGGCCUCGGCCCCCGGCGCGCAGAUCUGAUGAAGCCCAUCGAGUGUUCUCCGAGUGCUGAAGCAGCCUUGCACCCUGGCGAUUAACCCCACUGGGUCGUGAUCUGAUGAAGCCCAUCGAGUGUUCUCCGAGUGCUGAAGCAGCCUUGCACCCUGGCGAUUAACCCCACUGGGUCGUGAUCUGAUGAAGCCCAUCGAGUGUUCUCCGAGUGCUGAAGCAGCCUUGCAC